rnacentral:tRNA from 1 species
CAGGGAGACAACAAAAUGUUUAAUAUUAUUUUGUCACCUUAGGUCGAUCGGUAUCUCACGUUCUUAAUUUAUUAAGAAUCUCAUUUCCUAAGUUUUUCUAGGUCACACCCAUUAUUUUCCUGGGCCAUUAGCUCAGGUGGUUAGAGCGCACCCCUGAUAAGGGUGAGGUCCCUGGUUCAAGUCCAGGAUGGCCCAUAUCUCUAUGUUGGGGGUAUAGCUCAGUUGGUAGAGCGCCUGCUUUGCAAGCAGGAUGUCAGCGGUUCGAGUCCGCUUACCUCCACUGAUUACCACCUCUUCCAUAAUCUGUAGAAAGGAAAAUUUUUUGAGUUGUGAUCAUUAUUCUGAACGAAUCUAGCUUCCUAAUGAAGUCAUUAAGAUGCUGGACUCAUUGAAUUAAUUUCAUUGUUUUCAGAGAACCUUGACAACUGCAUAGAUUAUUUUAAAGACAAUAAGCAUCUUUAAUGAUGCAGAUUUAUUAUUUGUGCGAAUGCAUUAAUAACAAUUCUAUUAAGCUGAUGCUUCAAUUAUGAAGUUAUU